ensembl:misc_RNA 7SK 7SK RNA
UAAUUUGAUGCUGGCUGUCGGCAUGCUGUAUUGAUCUCCAGGGUUGAUUCCGCUGAUCUGGCUGGCUAGUCAGGUGUCCCCUUCCUCCCUCACCAUUCCAUGUGUGUCCCCUGAAGCUGUGUCCUUGGUUGAAGAGGACGACCUUCCCUGAGUAGAGGAGGACUGGUUUUCAGUCAAGGGUAUACAAGUAGUUGCGCUCCCCUGCUAGAAUCUCCAAACAAGCUCUGUUGUUUAACUUUUAAUUAAAAAAUUUUAAAGGAUUUUUAAUUCCUUUCCCAAAUGGCCCUGCAGAAAGCCACAUAG